rnacentral:tRNA from 1 species
GCCUGGGUGGCUCAGUCGGUUGAGCAUCUGACUUCGGCUCGGGUCAUGAUCUCUUGGUUCGUGGGUUUGAGCCCCGCGUCGGGCU